AAAAUUUCUUAAAGCUUGUGAGAGUGGAUUAGAUCAAUCAUUCAUGGUGGAUGGUAGAUUUGGAUUGAAAAUAGUGUAAAAAACAUCACAGAUACUGCCAAAUAAUGCUUUUGGCGUUGCAUUCAAAUUAUGGAAUCCAAGCCGAAGUUAGGAGGCAGCAUCUUCCGUCACCAAGAUCUGCUGCUUUAUACGGGAAUGCCUGCAAUGGGACUACAUGGACCAGCUCCCCAGUUACUAAGUGAUGCAGGACACAUACCCUGAAGAGCGAUAUUCCCGGCUUUGCUUCCAGCCGACGAAAUUUACCAGCAGUUAUCCUGUUCCUUCUGUGAUUUUAAUGAAAUAUAGGUUUUAAUAAAUAUAUCGUUGUUUAUCCUACCGUUUA